GCGGAAGGAUCAUUACUGAUUUGCUUAAUUGCACCACAUGUGUUUUUUAUUGAACAAAUUUCUUUGGUGGCGGGAGCAAUCCUACCGCCAGAGGUUAUAACUAAACCAAACUUUUUAUUUACAGUCAAACUUGAUUUAUUAUUACAAUAGUCAAAACUUUCAACAACGGAUCUCUUGGUUCUCGCAUCGAUGAAGAACGCAGCGAAAUGCGAUACGUAAUAUGAAUUGCAGAUAUUCGUGAAUCAUCGAAUCUUUGAACGCACAUUGCGCCCUUUGGUAUUCCAAAGGGCAUGCCUGUUUGAGCGUCAUUUCUCCCUCAAACCCCCGGGUUUGGUGUUGAGCAAUACGCUAGGUUUGUUUGAAAGAAUUUAACGUGGAAACUUAUUUUAAGCGACUUAGGUUUAUCCAAAACGCUUAUUUUGCUAGUGGCCACCACAAUUUAUUUCAUAACUUUGACCUCAAAUCAGGUAGGACUACCCGCUGAACUUAA
rnacentral:misc_RNA from 1 species